GUUAGCAGACUCGAGGUCACCCUUCUGAGAAUCUGCGCCAUGUGCAUUUAAGGGCUUUGCAUUCUUGAAGAGUACGCAGAGUUCUCACACAUAGUAGGCUUUCCAUGAACCUCUGAAAGGCUGAAAAGGGUUCGCAGCUUCCCACACGGGCUGCACUUAGGAGCUCUGUCUCCGGCUGUGUCUGGGAUCCUGACUUCAGCCGGCUUCCGUGGAGGUGAAACUGUCCACCCUCCUGCCCGGUGUCUGACAGACAGCAAACGGAUGUGGGAAGAACUGAACUCCAGUUCACUGGGGUCACAUGUGUUACUGGAUUGCAACUUGGAAACUCAACUGCACGUAAAAACCCACAAUAGGAUUGUUCAUGUUUUGCUUUUUAAAU
rnacentral:lncRNA from 1 species